UACGGAGGGUGCAAGCGUUGUCCGGAAUUAUUGGGCGUAAAGCGCACGUAGGCGGCUCUUUAAGUCUCUUGGUGAAAGGCUGGGGCUCAACCCCAUGCAUGCCGGGGAUACUGGGGGGCUUGAGACAGGUAGAGGCCAGCGGAAUUCCGGGUGUAGCGGUGGAAUGCGUAGAGAUCCGGAAGAACACCGGAGGCGAAGGCGGCUGGCUGGACCUGAUCUGACGCUGAGGUGCGAAAGCGUGGGGAGCGAACAGG
rnacentral:rRNA from 1 species